rnacentral:rRNA from 1 species
GACGAACGCUGGCGGCGUGCUUAACACAUGCAAGUCGAACGAGGUCCAACCGGUGGAAACACUGGUGAAGACCUAGUGGCGAACGGGUGAGUAACACGUGAGCAACCUGCCCCGAAGACCGGGAUAACAGCGGGAAACCGCUGCUAAUACCGGAUGCCCCCACCGGGCUGCAUGGUCUGGUGAGGAAAUGAAUUUUGCUUCGGGAGGGGCUCGCGGCCUAUCAGCUUGUUGGUGGGGUAAUGGCCCACCAAGGCGACAACGGGUAGCUGGUCUGAGA